rnacentral:rRNA from 1 species
UAGGGAAUCUUCGGCAAUGGACGAAAGUCUGACCGAGCAACGCCGCGUGAGUGAAGAAGGUUUUCGGAUCGUAAAACUCUGUUGUUAGAGAAGAACAAGGACGUUAGUAAUUGAACGUCCCCUGACGGUAUCUAACCAGAAAGCCACGGCUAACUACGUGCCAGCAGCCGCGGUAAUACGUAGGUGGCAAGCGUUGUCCGGAUUUAUUGGGCGUAAAGCGAGCGCAGGCGGUUUCUUAAGUGUGAUGUAAAAGCCCCCGGAUCAACCGGGGAGGGUAAUUGGAAACUGGAAGACUUAGGUGCAGAAGAGUGGAGUUGAAUUCCAUGUGUGGCGGUAAAAUGCUUAGAUAUAUGAGGGAAACCCAGGGGCAAAGGCGGCUCUCUGGUCUGUACCUAACGCUAAGGCUCGAAAGCGUGGGAAGCAAACAGG